GACGAACGCUGGCGGCGUGCUUAACACAUGCAAGUCGAACGAAGUGGCGAACGGGUGAGUAACGCGUGAGUAACUGCCCCCCUCUAUGGGAUAACAGUUGGAAACGGCUGCUAAUACCGGAUAGUGGGGGAUGACUCGCGUCCUAUCAGCUUGUUGGGGGGGUAGUGUCCUACCAAGGCGACGACGGGUAGCCGGCCUGAGAGGGCGACCGGCCACAUUGGGCUGGGGUGCGACCCAAACUCCUACGGGAGGCAGCAGUGGGGAAUUGUGCACAAUGGGGGAAACCCUGAUGCAACGCCGCCGCGUGCGGGAUGUCGGCCUUCGGGUUGUAACCCGCUUUCAGCCAUGACGCGGUAUUGGCAGAAGAAGCACCGGCUAACUACGUGCCAGCAGCCGCGGUAAUAC
rnacentral:rRNA from 1 species